rnacentral:rRNA from 1 species
CACGUAGGAGGCGAGCGUUGUCCGGAAUCAUUGGGCGUAAAGAGCGCGCAGGCGGCUUGGCAAGUCGGGUGUGAAAUCCCGGGGCUCAACCCCGUGACUGCAUCCGAUACUGUCAGGCUAGAGGUAGGUAGGGGAGAUCGGAAUUCCUGGUGUAGCGGUGAAAUGCGCAGAUAUCAGGAGGAACACCGGUGGCGAAGGCGGGUCUCUGGGCCGAUACUGACGCUGGAGGAGCGAAAGCGUGGGGAGC